AUUGAACGCUGGCGGCAUGCUUUACACAUGCAAGUCGAACGGCAGCGCGGGCUUCGGCCUGGCGGCGAGUGGCGAACGGGUGAGUAAUGCAUCGGAACGUGCCCAGUAGUGGGGGAUAGCCCGGCGAAAGCCGGAUUAAUACCGCAUACGACCUGAGGGUGAAAGCGGGGGACCGAAAGGCCUCGCGCUAUUGGAGCGGCCGAUGUCGGAUUAGCUAGUUGGUGGGGUAAAGGCUUACCAAGGCGACGAUCCGUAGCUGGUCUGAGAGGACGACCAGCCACACUGGGACUGAGACACGGCCCAGACUCCUACGGGAGGCAGCAGUGGGGAAUUUUGGACAAAGGGGGCAACCCUGAUCCAGACAUGCCGCGUGCGGGAAGAAGGCCUUCGGGUUGUAAACCGCUUUUGUUCGGGAAGAAAUCCUCUGGGCUAAUACCCCGGGGGGAUGACGGUACCGGAAGAAUAAGCACCGGCUAACUACGUG
rnacentral:rRNA from 1 species